GAUGAACGCUGGCGGCGUGCCUAAUACAUGCAAGUCGAGCGAACAGACGAGGAGCUUGCUCCUCUGACGUUAGCGGCGGACGGGAGAGUAACACGUGGAUAACCUACCUAUCAGACUGGGAUAACUUCGGGAAACCGGAGCUAAUACCGGAUAAUAUAUUGAACCGCAUGGUUCAAUAGUGAAAGACGGUUUUGCUGUCACUUAUCGAUGGAUCCGCGCCGCAUUAGCUAGUUGGUAAGGUAACGGCUUACCAAGGCAACGAUGCGUAGCCGACCUGAGAGGGUGAUCGGCCACACUGGAACUGAGACACGGUCCAGACUCCUACGGGAGGCAGCAGUAGGGAAUCUUCCGCAAUGGGCGAAAGCCUGACGGAGCAACGCCGCGUGAGUGAUGAAGGUCUUCGGAUCGUAAAACUCUGUUAUUAGGGAAGAACAAAUGUGUAAGUAACUAUGCACGUCUUGACGGUACCUAAUCAGAAAGCCACGGCUAACUACGUG
rnacentral:rRNA from 1 species